AGUGGCGAACUGGUGAGUAACACGUGGGUAACCUGCCCAGAAGAAGGGGAUAACACCUGGAAACAGAUGCUAAUACCGUAUAACAACAAGAACCACAUGGUUCUUGUUUGAAAGCUGGUCUUUGUGCUAGUGCUUCUGGAUGGACCCGCGGCGUAUUAGCUAGUUGGUGAGAUAAUAGCUCACCAAGGCAAUGAUACGUAGCAGACCUGAGAGGGUAAUCGGCCACAUUGGGACUGAGACACGGCCCGGACUCC
rnacentral:rRNA from 1 species